UACGUAGGGUGCGAGCGUUGUCCGGAAUUAUUGGGCGUAAAGGGCUCGUAGGCGGUCUGUCGCGUCAGGAGUGAAAACUCAGGGCUUAACCCUGAGCCUGCUUCCGAUACGGGCAGACUAGAGGUAUGCAGGGGAGAACGGAAUUCCUGGUGUAGCGGUGGAAUGCGCAGAUAUCAGGAGGAACACCGGUGGCGAAGGCGGUUCUCUGGGCAUUACCUGACGCUGAGGAGCGAAAGUGUGGGGAGCGAACAGG
rnacentral:rRNA from 1 species